rnacentral:ncRNA from 1 species
CUUUGCAAACGCGGGAGCUCGGAGCACCGGGCUGAGAGGGCGCUGACCCGUCGGAGCGGCUGACACGGCCGCGACGCGACAGCUGCGCCGACCGCUGAACCUGUUACCGGGUAAUGCCGGCGUAGGGAGUGGGUCUGAUGACCAU